rnacentral:rRNA from 1 species
AAACAUGAGAGUUUGAUCCUGGCUCAGAAUCAACGCUGGCGGCGUGCCUAACACAUGCAAGUCGAACGCGAAAACGGGCUUCGGCCCGCAAGUAGAGUGGCAAACGGGUGAGUAACGCGUGGGUGACCUACCUUCGAGUGGGGGAUAACGUUCCGAAAGGGGCGCUAAUACCGCAUGACAUCCCGUCUUUGGAAAGAUGGUGAUCAAAGCUGGGGAUCGCAAGACCUAGCGCUUGUUGAGGGGCCCGCGUCCGAUUAGCUUGUUGGCGGGGUAAUGGCCCACCAAGGCGACAAUCGGUAGCCGGCCUGAGAGGGCGGACGGCCACACUGGGACUGAGACACGGCCCAGACUCCUACGGGAGGCAGCAGUGGGGAAUUGUUCGCAAUGGGCGCAAGCCUGACGAC